AGUUUCAUCAGUGGCAUAACAAACAUCAAACCCAAUGUUUUUUUUUUCAUUCUGGUUAAGAUGAACACCUGGGUAAUAUCUGGCUUUAUUUCAGAAGGUCAACAAUGCUGAGCCCUCUGUACUCCAUGAAGAUCCUGUGGAACAAAACCAAAGUUCAGAAAAGAAUCAUCUCCUGUUGAAUGAUAAACAGCCAGAAUCACCACUAGGAGCUAAUCAUUUGCCUUCAGACACUGCCAGGAAUGCACAAGAAAAUGAACAGAAAGAAGUAAAAAGGGCUCAAGAGCAACUGCCUUUUUCUCUUGAAAACUCUGCAUCAGCCCAAACAGCAAGUCAGCAGCAGGACUCCUCUCAGCAAGAACCUAAUCAUUCUGGAAGCAGUAGAAGGCAGCAAUUUUAUUGUCCUGUUUUUGGAAUAGGAAGAUUAGGACUCUAAUGAAUUUUCUAAUCUGUAGUUAUCCAGGACUGGGUUGAUUUGUUCAGGUAUGCCUUUGAGGAGCAUAGCUCCACUGUUCCCUUUUCUCAAUGACUACCUUUUCAAUUUAGUAGACUUGGUUUAUAGAAUUACAGGAACACCCUCCCUUGAUCCCAUGUCUUCUGUGUUCACAUUCACUCACGCAUUUCAUCUUAAGUGUGUACAAUGUACCCCAUGCUCAGAAACUCAGACUAUGGUUAUUUUAUUAUCCUUGAUAGAUAGUUUCUGGGGAAUAGUCCCUAAUCUACUACUCUAGCUCUUGGCCUGUUUCCCUUUUCCAGUGAUAUACCCCAGAUUCUUGGGUAGGAGAAAAUACCUUUCCUAGAGCAGUCUUUUGGCAACAGAGAAGUGUUUAUUCAUUUCUAACUAUUUCAGUAUUCAAUUAUCCAACACUUUCAUAAAUGAUAAAUGUGAUAUUUAAACUUAGUUUGAUCAAUCUGAAUUUGAAUAAAUUAUAAUUGAAUUGCA